GAUCUGAGCACGACGGGAAGUUGAAUGUUCAUAGAAACAAAAGGGGAUAACCCUGUAAUCCUUUACAGUGGAUUUACUCCAGAGGCUACCUUAAAUUAUCCUUGGGUGAUGGUGGACAAUACAUUUUGGACAAAUUGAAGACCACAAACACACCAUUAUGUCCUACAAAUUGUUGGUGCCUUUGGAAUUGGACGUACUUGUCAGUCGCCAUGACGUAUUGCAGACUUCAAAGGAGACAACCUUGAAAAUGGGACUAGGUUACGGAGCAGCUCCACAAUCUGCACACACUCGCAGCUUCUCGAUAUUAGUCCACAAUAUCCAGCAUCAUCCCACACAGGCUGAAACCGCCUCACCUCGGGCAUCCCACACACUCCGCUCUCUCUGCAGCACAGGCCUCAGAGUGAGGCUGCUUGCUUGUCUCGGAGUGCUGUUGCUGCUGCUUUCUGCUCUUCAACCAGCAAUCCUGUUAAUGACCAGUGCUGUACUCAUGUUUUAAUUCAUUGGGAUUAAUUAAUCGUGCAAUUACUGAAUGACACAUCGAAUUUCUAUUGAUUUCUGGUGAGCUACAGUGGUUUAAUGCAGUGUUUAUUUGUGGUACACUAAAGCACAGAACAGUAGUACAAGUCGACAAGAGUCAUAAAGCCCACAAACUGACACAGCAAUAUCUGGGUACAGUCUGCUAACAUUAGCUGCUAGUUAGACCAAGUAAGACUGCAGCAGCAAGUGUAAUGAGUGUAUUGAAUCGUAAUAAUAGAAAUGAAUAGUAAUGUGUUUUAUUGCUUAUGAAUUCAACUUUUAAUUUCCAAGAGUAGAACUGUGUUGCUUGUUUCGAAUGUCACAGUCUCGCUUUAAAGAUGAUUGCUAGUGUGCCUUUGAGUACAGGCUUUUGAUGUUCAAUGCCCCAGAUAGUUACAUUUUCUUGUUAAAGCAUAUCGUAGCUAAGACACUCAUUUCAUUGUUUGAAAAAAAAAAAAAAAAAAAAAAAAGAGGGCAGCUUUAUUCAGUGUUUUCAAGUAUGAAAUGAUUCUGAGUUUAAGGUGUAUUACUAUUUGAGAAACAGCUAACAGCCAAAAAAGAAAAUUUGGCCAGCAGAUCCACAGUCACACUGUAAAGCAGCAGUUGUAAAAGAAGCCUGUUGGUGUGGCACUCUGGUAUUUAAAUCUUACAGACCCGUCCACUCAAAAAUAUGUGUUCCUUCUGGUUCCUACAGUGUGAUCUUCACUGUGCAGAAUGAUGUAUGUGCAGAGUGUGACACUAGAAGGUUGUUUUUACAUGCAUCUGCUGAAAGGGGAACAUUUCUCUGAGCUCAUCUGUGUGCAAUUUAAGUGUGGUGAUGAUAUAGAAACUUUAAGCCACCAGUGCUCAUACACUGAGAAUGGACUUCACACGGAAGUAGGAGACAUCUUGUGUCCAGCAGGAGUAGAGGCACUCCAGGAGCAGUUGGGUGCCUUGCUCAAGGGCAUAUCCCACCUUCUGGUUCCACCCCCGAUAGUGAUACUGGGGUUUGUAUGAUACUCAGUCAUGCUUGUUGGCUCUGGUUCAUGAUCAGAUGAAGCUCUGUGCAAACUCCUCAUCCAAUCAAAAGGGGCUGCUGUGGGAUUUUAUUGUUGUAAUGAUCUGUAGCUCUGCAGUACAAAGAUUUAAAACCCACAACAACAUGCAUCACUGGUAAACAAUUAUCUACAUUAAUUGCUACACCUGUCCAUCAGAACCCAUCAUCACCAAGUACGUUGCUGUGAACUCAGCUGUGAACAUCAGGAAUGAAGAUGUGGGAUUUGAGGGUGCAGCUUGAAUAACAGCAGCUGUCUGAGUGAACCUCCACAUUUCAAGAGUGGCUGGUUCACAUUUCUAACCCAAAUCUCCAGUUUAUGCAACUCCUCCCAUUAUGUACACCUGCUGUGGGCCUCCAAAAGUAAAUACAUUCUCAUACUCCAGCAUGUAACAUGACUCAUAUUUGGGUUGAUGAAAUGUUAAAACAUUUUUUUAUUUGACGAGUAAUAGCUACAGUUUCACAAUUGAGAACCACUUUAGACCUACAACAAGGACACAUUUUAAGAGUCAACUAGCUGCAAUUUGUUUUUCUCACCAGCUUUUCUUAAUGGUACACAUGAUUUGGGAGGGUAUAUUGAAAUCUAACCAUUCCAUUUGUCUCUUAAAUUUAGCUUUCCUUCCUCUCAACUGUUUUCUAAAAUCACUUGUCAGUUGAUGCUACUCAUGUAUCAGGUUCAGCCAAAUAAAUGUUCAUUAAAAACUGAUAACAGCACUCCAUUUAUACUUCAUGUGUAUUGAUUGAACUUAAGAGCUCUUCCCCGUCACCCCCCUGAGACCACAAUGAAUAGGAGCUGUGUGUUAUAGAAAGUAAUUUAUUACACAAACCAAAGCUAGUUUACAAAUACAGUUUCCAGUCCUGUGCGUGUGUAUAGUCUAGUAUGAACAAACCCACAUUUCAUAUUUACAGACUUUGCAUACAGCUUGGUUUUCCUGUUCCUUUGUUUACAUCAGUUUCAGCAUUCAAAAUUAGGAUUUAAAAAUACAAUAAAAAGUAGAAAUAAAAAUGAUUUGUACAUAAUAAGGAGACUUACAUUGUUUUUCCUUUUGUCUUUUCAGCCAAGUUUGUGUUUUUAAACAAACAAACAGAAAAAGAGCCAGCAGAUGUGGUCCUAGCGAUGCUCUAGACAGGCAGCCGAGAGGCCAGCCUUUCUCCUGACUGCCUAACAACAGCAUUUGGCAGGGAUGAUUGACGGGUCGUUACAACCAAUUGUAAAUCAUCAGAAAAAUUCAGGUAAAGCACGUAAGAAUAAACUAAAGCAACGUCACAUAAGCAGUCCCCUAGUCUUCCACCUCCUAUUUUAAAUACUGAUAGACAACAUAUUUAUGACUUUUUUUUUUUUAAAA